rnacentral:rRNA from 1 species
UACAGAGGGUGCGAGCGUUGUCCGGAAUCACUGGGCGUAAAGGGCGCGUAGGCGGCUCGAUAAGGUUGCGGUGAAAGCCCGGGGCUCAACCCCGGGUCGGCCGUGGCAACUGUCGAGCUGGAGCACUGUAGAGGCAGGUGGAAUUCCGGGUGUAGCGGUGGAAUGCAUAGAGAUCCGGAAGAACACCGGUGGCGAAGGCGGCCUGCUGGGCAGUGGCUGACGCUGAGGCGCGACAGCGUGGGGAGCAAACAGG